rnacentral:lncRNA from 1 species
CCACCUCUCACAUGAUCACUGUCAACUUUCAUCUGUUGGGGCCAGCAGCUCUUCAGUCUGCCUUCUGGGAUCCAGAACUCUUCUUGGGACAUCGAAGGUUAGACUAUGGCAGGUAUCCGGAUUGCCACAUGCUUGCGUUUUCUUCCUGAAACCAUCGCCUUCUCUGCUUGGAUACCCUUCCUCCCUCUGUAUUUCCACCGCCCGCUCAGCCUGCUGUUCAGCACAGCUUGUGAGGACUGGAGACCAGCACUCCCCUAUCCCAACAGCCUAGGGAAAAGGGAGUCAGAAUCCAGCAGGCUGCACAUGAGUGGCAGAGAGCAGGGGCAGCCAGGAGCAGAACUCUGGGCCAGGGACAUUUAAAACAUUGAUGAUAAUGAUGAUGGUG